AGAAAAAACUAACCGAAACAGAAAAAGUCUUCGUCAAUUGGCUAUUACCAAGUAGUUUAGAAGAGAAUUUCUGGGAAGUUGUUACGUCGAUGAAAGAACAAGGGUUUCUCUGAAUGGAGGUGGAGAUGAGUACGGGAAGAUAUGAUGGAAUUCCUUUUGUUCCUGAAAAAGGGUUCAGGCGUUAACUUCAGUGAUCGAGUGCUAUAUGAACGGCCGAGUUCCUCCUCAUGUUCUCGUCAGUGCAUCAGAUGAAGUUUUGUCUGUUCUUAAAAGUGAUAUCAAUUUUGGAUAUGAGAAGAAACAAGAGAUUGAUAAAUUGAUUGGGUUGAUUUCCCUCGACACCUUUCAACAAUUGGUUGCCAUCGCAAAUUGGAUUACUGAUUAUACCAAUCCUCGUCCUGCUAAUUGGAGAUCAUAUAAUCCUGGAGAUUUGUCAGGGUUGUUUUACAGACCAAGUAACGAAGCUAAUUGGAGAUCAUAUAAUCUGUUUCUUGAUGCUUUUAAACAACUUAUCGGAGAUCAGCCUGAUAUGGUUGUUUUAAGAAUGUUGAUACCCCGAUAGAGUACCGAAUACAUGUCAUUGAAUCAGAACUAGGGCCUGCAUCGAGGAAUUGGUUUGAUCAUCUGAGUUCACUUGCGAAUUUGAUUACUGAUUACCCACCAUUACUAUCUCCUAGUUGGGAAACCACGGCCACAGCUCCGUCGUGGGCUCAAUCCACCUCUGGUACUGAUUUUUACCCUCAUGAGUUUCCCUCGGAGAAGAAGGAAGCGGAAAGGAUCGCCAUAUUUGCACCUGAAGAUCCUGAAGAUUAUUUUGAUAAUGUCAAGUUUGAUUUUGAAGAUGAUGUAAUGGCUAGUGAUUCUUCUUCUGAGGAGGAGGAGGAUGAGAAGGUGGUAGGGUCACCAUAUGAUCUAAGGGCUAGCAAUGAUUCUGAUGAUCAAGGCACUGUACAGGGAUGGAUGAGAGAUUUGACUGAUGAUGAUUUUCAAGAAGUGAAAGUUGGAAUGAAGAAUCUGAGGGUGGAGAGAGAAGGUAGCAGCAGCGGAGAUGAUGAGUGUGAGAGAGUCACCGUCGGAGAAGCAUACCUGACGUCUGAGAGUUGCAGUGAUGAAGAGUAUCAAAGGUCAAAGUGGGAGUCCGUAAUCUGACGGUCGGAGAGAACAGUGAUGAAGAAUGGUUAGUCGUUUAAUGGUGCUGAUGAUAUUGAAGCAGGUUAAUACGAUAGGUUAGUGGAGUACAAAAAAAAGACUUGAAUUUUCUUCGUGGUUUCUUCUGUUUGGUUAUCAGUUAUCAAUCUAGUUAAUUGGAACCUGCUUUGCUUUCAUU